GAGGGAUCAGUGAGACAGGGAGGGAGGGCUCAGUGGGAUGUGGAGGCUUAAGGAGGGAGGGAUCAGUGAGACAGGGAGUGUUAGAGAGGAGGGAUCAGUGGGACAGGGAGUGUAGAGAGCGAGGGUUAAGUAGGAGGGAUCAGUGAGACAGGAGUGUUAGAAGGGAGGGAUCAGUGGGAUGUGGGGGUUAAGGAAGGAGGAAUCAGUGAGACGGGAGUGUUAGAGAGGGAGGGAUCAGUGGGACGGGAUGGUUUGGGGAGGAGGGGCUCAGUGGGAUGUGGAGGUUAAGGAGGGAGGGAUCAGUGGAGACAGGGAGUGUUAGAGAGGGAGGAUCAGUGAGACAGGGAGGGAGGGCUCAGUGGGAUGUGGAGGCUUAAGAAGGGAGGAUAGUGAGACAGGGAGUGUUAGAGAGGGAGGGAUCAGUGGGACAGGGAGGGUUAGGGAGGGAGGGAUCAGUGAGACAUGGAGUGUUAGAGAGGGAGGGAUCAGUGAGACAGUGAGGAGGCCUCAGUGGGAUGUGGAGGCUUAAGGAGGGAGGGAUCAGUGAGACAGGGAGU
rnacentral:lncRNA from 1 species